CCCGUGGCGAAAGCGGCGCGCUGGACCACAACUGACGCUGAGGAACGAAAGCUAGGGGAGCAAACAGGAUUAGAUACCCUGGUAGUCCUAGCCCUAAACCAUCAGGAAUUGGGGUGACCCGCGUAGGCGGGUCGUCUCGUAGCUAACGCGUUAAGUCUGCCGCCUGGGAAGUACGAGCGCAAGCUUAAAACUCAAAGGAAUAGACGGGGAUCCGCACAAGUGGUGGAGCAUGUGGUUUAAUUCGACGACAAGCGAGGAACCUCACCAGGGCUUGAAACUAUGCUGCAUUGUACAGAAAUGUACAAGCCUUCGAGGGUGCAUAGCAGGCGUUGCACGGUCGUCGUCAGCUCGUGCCGUAAGGUGUUCUGUUAAGUCAGGAAACGAGCGCAACCCCUAUCGUGUGUUACAGUGUCACACGAGACUGCCCAGAACAAAACGCACUUCGUGCUCAAUUCUCAAUUUUCAAUUCUCAAUUUUCAAACAAUUUUCAAUGAAUUAAUUUUCAAUUUAGAAAUUUAAUCAUUGAGAAAUUAGACAUUGUUUAGAAAUUAGAAAUUGAAAAUUAGAAAUUGAGCGCUUAGCAAAGCGCGUUUCGUUCUGGGAGGAAGGCGGGGAUGACGUCAGAUCAGCGUGGCCCUUUGACGCCCUGGGCUACACACGUGCUACAAUGGCCGGUACAAAGGGUUGCCAAGUCGCAAGACGGAGCUAAUCCCAAAAAACCGGUCUCAGUUCGGAUUGAGGUCUGCAACUCGACCUCAUGAAGCUGGAAUCACUAGUAAUCGCGCAUCAGCCAUGGCGCGGUGAAUACGUUCUCGGAUCUUGUACUCACAAUAAAAGCGCCGGGCAGUUUAAAUUUCCAAGAAGUUAGAAUCUUCUCCUCU
rnacentral:rRNA from 1 species